UUCAGAACGUCGUGAGACAGUUCGGUCCCUAUCCGGCGCGGGCGUAGGAUAUUUGAGAGGAGCUGCCCCUAGUACGAGAGGACCGGGGUGGACGGACCACUGGUGUAUCAGCUGUCGACCAACGGCAUAGCUGAGUAGCCAAGUCUGGACGGGAUAAACGCUGAAGGCAUCUAAGCGUGAAGCCCCCCUCAAGAUGAGAUAUCCCAUUCCUUUAAGGAAAUAAGAUCCCUUAUAGACGAUAAGGUAGAUAGGUUCAAGGUGUAAGUGCGGUAACGCAUUCAGCUGAUGAAUACUAAUAGAUCGAAGGUUUAUUCU
rnacentral:rRNA from 1 species